UGGGGAAUAUUGGACAAUGGGCGCAAGCCUGAUCCAGCCAUGCCGCGUGAGUGAUGAAGGCCUUAGGGUUGUAAAGCUCUUUUACCCGGGAAGAUAAUGACUGUACCGGGAGAAUAAGCCCCGGCUAACUUCGUGCCAGCAGCCGCGGUAAUACGAAGGGGGCUAGCGUUGUUCGGAUUUACUGGGCGUAAAGCGCACGUAGGCGGACUUUUAAGUCAGGGGUGAAAUCCCAGAGCUCAACUCUGGAACUGCCUUUGAUACUGGAAGUCUUGAGUAUGGAAGAGGUUGGUGGAACUGCGAGUGUAGAGGUGAAAUUCGUAGAUAUUCGCAAGAACACCAGUGGCGAAGGCGGCCAACUGGUCCAUUACUGACGCUGAGGUGCGAAAGCGUGGGGAGCAAACAGGAUUAGAUACCCCCGUAGUCC
rnacentral:rRNA from 1 species